ACAUAUUUGUCUUAGUUAUUUUUCAUUGCCGAAUAUAAGUUAAAAGAAAAGAAGAAAGAAUAAGCUAGGGUUCGGCCUAUUUGGAAGCUCAAUCAAGAUCAAGAACUAAAGAAAUCGGAUUUGGAUCGGGGAAAAACGAAAGUUAUCGACUAGCUGCCCGAUUUCAUUUUGUACCGUCCGAGAUUUUGGAAAUCAAGUUAUCAGCUCGGGGAUCGUCAGCGAGGCUUAUCACACUAUCUACUAUUUUGGUUACCUUUAUAAAUUAAAUGCAAAUUAUGGCAUGUAU